UUGUCCAGCUCAAAGCCAACUGACAGACAAUACAGCUAAGCAGUGAUGGGAAAGACAGGCCAGGCAAAGGAGGGUCCUGGCUAUCUAAUAUAAGAGAAAGGUCCCAGGCGGCAGUAGGAGAAUACAAAGCAUGUACGGAUGCCCUGUAAAUGAUCAAACAACAGGAGGCAUUUCCAGAUCCCUAGACUAUUGCUUAGUGUUUUCAACAUGUCAGAAAUGAAAUCUACUGCCUGGGACCCAUUUGGGGCAGAGAAAACAGCAAAGAUAAAAAAAAAUAAAAUAGCCAAGAGACUUUGUGAAGCAAGUAACUGGAAAAAAGAAGAUUUGAACUCAACUCCUUGACUUCAGGUUCAGCACUCCUUUCACUAGACCAAGUCGUCCAUCAUUAACAGAAGUUCAAGGAGAAGGGAAUACAAAAAGAGUGCACAGUUCCAAAGAAGUACAAAGCUACUUGCAUGGUGCCAAUCAAGCGCAAGGUCAAAGAGACCAAAUCAAUCCUACGUGACUGAUGACAUUCUGCAUAAAGAGCACAAGGACCUGAUCAUGUGUGAGACUCAAGGUUGUGGCUGUUAACAUGUGUUAAAUGCAGGACUUCCUUGUAACACAAUCUCUAUAUCAAAUAUGCAACAUCAAUUGUUCUGGCUCCAGUAUCCCUGAGAAAAAUAUGUAAAAUCAGAUCAAGUAAUGUUGUUUCCCACUUGCUGAAAAAAUCUAGUACUUUUUUCUCUCUUAUAGUAUGGCAACACCCCAGAGUCUUGGCUACAAAUGGAACCAAGAUUGUGUGCUGGUUCCAAGGCAGAAGAAUGAUAAGGGUUGGGCAACUGGGGUCAAGUGACUUUUCCAGGAUCACAUAGCUAAGAAGAGUAAUGAGGCCACACUUGAACCACAUAUGAACCCUGACCUCCUGGCUCUCAGUCCACUGAGUCACCUGGCUGCCCUCAGGAGUAACCAUUCUUGAGACCAACAGAAAUCCAAACCCAAAAGGCCUUAAUGUAGCAUAUAAACAAUUUCAUUGGGGAGAACUCUUAAACUGUUGAUUAAACACCCCCAGCUGGAACCACUGGUGAAUCCAUCCAUUAAUCAACCAAGAAAUAUUUGCUGAACACCUGCACUACUCCUGGCCCUAGGCUAUCUACCCAGGGAAGUGGAAGAUGUAGCACCUGCCCUCAAGGAACUUUCGAUCUGGUUGGAGAGGAAAGACACCUAGAAAGCAUAAGUCACCGUUCAACAAGCCUACAAAGCCGGCUAGCAUUUGUCAAGAAAAGGGAAAGCAGGCUUGAGGAGUCCCCUUAAUCACGGGCCUCCCGGAGGCAUUACUGUUCCAGCGCUGAGGUCAUUUUAGAGCUUAUCAAUAAUUCACGGGUACAAAGGAUGCAAAGGAUAAUGUCAGCUGUCAUGGUCUGUGGGCAGAGGAGGGGCAGCCUCGGAGGAGACAGAGGCCCGGGAGGGAUACAUCUUUAACAACCAUCUCCGUGCAAAUAUCCAUGACUAGAGCUGAACGGGAGGCACUUUCUCCUCUACAAUCUGCUUUUGAGAAGCUCAUUAGCAUGUUAAAAGUUCCCCCACCCCCAAUCUCCAGCUAAGCUAGGGCCUGAAAUGUUCUCUCAGAGAAGCAC